rnacentral:tRNA from 1 species
UCCCCGGUGGCUCAGUGGUAAAGAAUCUGCCUGCAAUGCAGGAGACGCAGGUUCGAUUCCUGGGUUGGGAA